ACAAAGUGUCACAUUCAUUUUUGGUGAUCGAGUCUCUAGCUCAGCAUACCGCCAGCAUCAUACUUUUUUUGAAAUCACCAGCUGCAGUAUACUUUCCAACAUCCGCAAUUCUUUUCUAAAUCAUCUCUUUUUUACAAAGCUCUACACGUGGGGCGGAUGAUCCCGACAUUUUAUAUUGUUGAGACCUAAUUUUUCAAUCGAGGCCUCGUCCUUCGGAAUUCCGACGGCAUGAAGAGAAGGUAAGGAAUGUGAUCUAAAAAUUGUGCCCUGACGGUGUAAUCAGACUGUAAUUCGCUUUUCAUCUAGUUACCCUGUUAUUUAGCCGUCCGUCUCAGGGCAUCAUUAUCCUCUUCCUCUUUUUCUCCUUCUCACACUCUCUCUCCACCUUAGUUUUCUCCGCCCGUCUUAGAACCACCACCUCACAGAUCAUGGCCUCCGAUGUCAUGAUCAUCAGCACAAAAGCAACACGAAGAUCACAGCGUAAUGAUGUCUGAUCUGAAACUGCAAGGAUCAACUGGAUAAUUUGGAUCUUGUCUGUUGAUGUUAGUUUGAUUUUUCGAUUGGAUAUUUUCACUACAGCAAACAAUGCCGAAAUCCAGCAAAUCUGGCAAAAACCAGCAAGCAAGGAGGGGAUCACCAAAAACCAAUCAAACACAACCACAAAACGAACGGCGUGGUUUAGAAUCCACUAUGAAGGAUGGCCGUUCAAGGGGUCUGAUAUCUAACGUAUUAUUGCAAUUUCGCAAAAACAAAAAAGGCUACGAAGAAUCAUAGUGGUAACCAACCUAACGGGGAGAGCACAGCUAAUCUGGGUCAUUAUAUUCGCUAUCUAGCUACAACUUAAUGCUCCAGCUGAGAAUGGAAUUCAUCCCUUAUAGGGUGUCGCAGUAAUCCUUCCUGAGCUGCUUCUAAUUUUCCCGUUCAGCGCGAUUCCGGCACUUCAGGACGUUAUGGGUAUAUGGCAGGUGACCAAGAGAAGCCAAAUAGAAAAAGGGCACAGGUUCCAACGCAAUUUGUAAAUGACCUCCAGGAAGUUGAGAAGCUUCAAGUUCAUAAGCUAACGGAGAGAGCACAACUAAUCUGGGUCAUUGUGUUAGCUAUCGAGCUACCACUUAAUCCUCUAGCUGAGAAUAGACAUUCACAGCGUCGAAAUAAUCCUUCACGAGCCGCUUGUAACUUUCUAGUUUAGCUCAAUUGUGGCACCUGAAGACGUUAAGCUAACAAUAUUAAACUUACACUCCGUGCAUGUUAAUAUUAAGUUCUUAUACAAUAAUGCUAAUAAUCUUUAAUUCUGAUUGGUUCUUAUGCAAUAACAAUGCGGAGUAGUUAGAAGGGUGUAAACAUGAAUGGCUUUUGAUGUUUUAGUGGCAAAUUAGGAUUCAGUCUAAGGACUGAUUGAGUGCUUAAACUUAGCUUAAAGUUAAUGCUACUAUAAGUUAAAUUUGUGAUGAGCUGUCAUAUGUAGCCAUUGAGUUGACACUCUAUCUCAUGAUGAAAAAGACUAGAAACUAGAAAGACACAUGGAAAGCAUGACAUGGUCUCUUUGCUAGGCAUGAAAGAAAAUUCUUAAUUCUCCCAUACAAGUCAUAAGAUAUUCUCUCUAUUUCUUCUUGCUAAUUCUAUCUGUAUAGCAUCGUUAGCGAAGAUUUAUACCGUGUAUGAUGAUGUCUGUUCAGUUCACUUGUAGAGAAAUAAUACUAGGAGUACUUCACUAAUUCUGUUUUCAGCACACGGUAUAGUUUAUAUCGUACUUACGGUCAAGUUAUAAUUUAGGAGCUGAAAAUGUAACAAACAUAAGUUGUUAUGCAGUAUGAUAAUGAUCUGUAGUUCUGAAUGGUUCUUGUGCAAUAAUGAUGCUUUCUGUUAGAAACUGUUAAGGUUAGAUGAUAGUUCUUUUUAUUUGCUCGUGCUUUAAUUUUGUAUGCUUGUUUUAAGUUAUCAAUGUUGCAUGAAUGUGGUUCUCUUAGACACCAUAUUUUGAUUAAUUUAACCAUCUAGAUAAUACGAACAAAUGUGUAAUAAUACAUUUUAACAAGGAAAGUGAACGACUGAGUAAGAUCUUUGUGCACUUAACUGAUAAUUGUUUUGCUUCUUUUAAACAGAAAAAAGGGAUAUCUCUCGGCUGCAAAAACUAGCAAACAAACUUCCACUGAAGAAAGCACCUUUAUCAGACAAAAAUGUCUAGGUGCUGGCACUGCCAUAGAGAGACCAAUCCACUUGCGAAUCAACAUGAAGAAUGCCCGAACAAACUGCUAUGUCCCUUAUACCAGUAUACUACUCCAUGAGUCAUGAAACUCAACUGACUAGGCAGAUAUCACCACAUCCCAGGUAAUUGUACAUGAUAUGCUUACUGUUGGCCAUAUUCAGCUGAUUUGUGAAGAAGAUACUGUAUGUUUCAAUUGUACAGCAUUAAGAGAACGUGAUGGUAAAUGCAAGUAUUCCUUGUUUGAAUGAAACAAACUUUCUUUCGUUCAUAAAUGUGUAUUCUUUCAAACUGGUUGCCAAAAUUUAUGGAUAUAAUUUAUUUUGGUAAUGUCAGUCCUAGUUUGUUUCUUCA